AGCAGUAUGGUGUAAUGCCGCACACGGGAUUUUCCUACCCUGUUGAACAAAUAUGUUAUCCCGAGGUCCUUGUUUGAAUCAAGGCACUGCUU